UACGGAGGGAGCUAGCGUUAAUCGGAAUUACUGGGCGUAAAGCGCGCGUAGGCGGCUUUGCAAGUCGGGUGUGAAAUCCCCAGGCUUAACCUGGGAACUGCAUUCGAGACUGCAUUGCUAGAGUAUGGGAGAGGGAAGUGGAAUUUCAGGUGUAGCGGUGAAAUGCGUAGAUAUCUGAAGGAACAUCAGUGGCGAAAGCGACUUCCUGGACCAAUACUGACGCUCAUGUGCGAAAGCGUGGGGAGCAAACAGG
rnacentral:rRNA from 1 species